GUCUUGUUCACUACAUGUACCUGACGUAACUUACAUGUAAACCUGUCAGUCUUAUGUAAGGGGUGGAAAAACAAUGGACAAAAACACCAUCAGUCAUGUCAGUAAGCUAUAGGUUUAUACCUGUAUAAAAAGUCUACUGUCGCUGUGAACAUCAUAUCAUUUGGUGCUAUCAACAAAAGACAAAGAUGAACAAGCUAGCUAUUGUAUUGUGUGUUGUUUUGGUCUGCUCAUGCACCAUUCAAGCCCAAUUCUUGAGUGGUUUGACAUCUGGUCAGGCUUUUGGCUUAGGAUUGGGUCUUCCAUUCUUCUUAGGAGGAAUCGGUAGAGGUUUGAAUGGAGGCGGACAGGUUGGAUACCCAAUUCCCCCACCUCCAAGGCCAUUCCUUCUCCCACCACCAAUGUACCAGCCAAUCACCGUCCACCGUAGAAGAUAUUUCAAAUAUUGAAGAAACAGUGAAAACAAGAAGAAUGAAGAUAAUAUCAGAAUUUGUAACAGCAGCCACAUGUAAAGAAACAGCACAAUCAACAAAUACAACCAAUAAAUGUCAUGUUUUUUA